AGAGAGUACACAUAAGGCCGGCAUCCUCGUGAACACUGGUUUUGCUACAUUCUUGGAAUUGGGUUGGGAGGAGACAGAAGCCAGAAGGAGGAGUACGAACCGGAGAGAAAGCAUUCCUCAAGGCAGGCUGCGAUCUGCAGAAAAAUCUCAGGAGUGUCUCUCAAAGGUUAUCAUAAGAAGUACUCAACUCCUUCACGGCAUUCAGAUGAUAGGAACAUAUGGAAAUAAAUAGGAACUUCAAGGAUGCAAGAAUGAAAGCUUCAGGCCAAAGAGAUGCUCCACCACAUUGAGAACAAACCCUCUGAAAAUGGGUUGUUCACACUCGCCAUCAGAAGCUGUAUAGUCUGCUUCCUCUUUGAUGUUCAAGAUGUGAACUUUCAUCUGCUGCUCCAGUCACCUGUUACCACCUCUCCAACAUCAUGGACUCCAGUCUUGUGAAACCAUUAGCCCCAAAUAAACACUUUUUUCUAUAA
rnacentral:lncRNA from 1 species